AAAAUCUAGUGUCUUGGUGGACGUGAGCGAGGGAGGGUGUGAUGCGCCGUGCUCCUGUCCGCUCCCUCUCGCUCGCUCUCUCUCAUCUCCCGCGACGCCUCUAAAAGCAGCCUCCCUUCACUGUUUCUCGCGUUAAUUCACUAAGACAACCCACACCGCCUCCUCGUCAGCCCUUAGCGGUGAGUGCGUGCGUGGAGGACCGAAGAAAAGUGCUGGUGGAGUUGAAGGAGUUUUUUGAGUGGAGUUUUUAGCGAGUGUUGUGUGGAAAGUGUGGUGGUGGUGGUGACGGUGGUGACGGUGGUGGUGGUUCUGCCUCUGCUUGGUUGGUGUUUGUUUGUCUGCUGCUUUUAUUAAGAAGGACGAAACGAGAGCCUUGGAGCCGCCCACUGACUGACUGACACACCGACCGACCGACUGACUGAUGCGUUAAGAGCGAGUCAGUCAGUUCAUGAAUAUCGAGAAUGGACUAAAGUUAUAUAAAAGAAGAUAACAAAAGUGACUGAGAAUUCUAACCAAGGAUAUCAUGAAAGAAAAGUUACGAUAAAGAAUAAUAACAGGUAAUAGUGUGAACGUUUAAUCUCUUCAUAAAUCAAAAGUGUUAGCGUCUGUGGCUUACCAAGGAUCGUGUACUGUUGAAGGAUUGGGUGUUGCUGGUACAGGAUCGAGUGUGAAAAGGAUCCAGUGUUAUGUAAGAUAUCAUAAGAACAUAAGGAAUCUAGAGGAGGCAUGAGAAGUCUGCAAGAACAUAAGGAAUCUACAAAUCUUGAGUGUUAUAAAGGACUGGAUGUGACUCAUACAAGGGAUUGAGUGUCGUUUAAAAAGGAUUCAGUGUUACAUAGAAAGAGUUGCGUGCGGUAAAAGAGAGCCCGUGUGACUUACGAAAAGAUAGAAGAAAUGUGUUAAUUAGAAGAAAAUAAAAGGGCAUUGUGAGUUGUGAAGCAAGGAAGACAAGAAAGACGCAGAUUAUUAAAGACAAGUAAACAGAAAUAAAAACGAAAUAUGGAACAAACUUAGAUAAAUAGAUAAAAGCAAAAAAAUCCUGAUAUUACACCCUCGUCAAAAUCAAAUCAGAAACUUGACCAAAACAAAGAAAACACGAAAAUCAACAAGUAGAACGAAGACAAACAAAUAUAAAGAAAAAAACAAACAAUGGAACAAAAAUUAAGAUAAGAAAAAUACAACACCUCAUUGAAAAAAACACUAAAACCAGAACAAGAGAAGAAGCAUAAAGACAAAAAAAAAAAAAGAAUAUCGAGGUCAGAAAAGGUGAAGCAAAACAAAACAGGUGAAUGAGGAGAGAGCGAGUCACGUGACCUGUGUGAUAGGGGUCAAGGAGGUCAGGCGGACAGACAGGUCAGCAAACAGGUGGAUGGGGUGGACCACGUGACCUCGACCUGACCUCUGCGAGUGAAGGGUCAAGGGUCAGAGAUGGAGAUGACCUACCCCAGGAUGAAGCACCCCCCUCCUCCUCUUCCUCCUCCUCCUCCUCUUCAUCGUCUCCUCCUCCUCCUCCUCACCUUCGUCGGUUCUCUCCUCGUCUCACCUGCUGUCGGUCUUCACACAGGGCAGUGCGAGGCGGCGCUGGGCAUGCAGUCCGGUGCCAUCCCUGACGAGCACAUUUCCUCCUCCUCCUACUUCGACUCCUCCGUCAACGCCAUCUACGGGAGACUCAAAACCGAGGCUAAGGGAGGCGCCUGGUGUCCCCGCGAGAUGGUCAACAAGGAGGGCAAGGAGUACCUGGAGGUCAACCUUGGGGUGCUGCACGUGGUGACCAAGGUGGAGGUGCAGGGGCGCUUCGGGAACGGCCAGGGUAGGGAGUUCGCCCGCCAGUAUAAACUCCAGCUCUGGCGCCCCGGCUUGUCCCACUGGGUGACUUACGUGGAUGGGCGCGGCGAGGAGCUCCUGGAGGGCAACAGCAACACGUACCUGGCCCAAACCUCGCAGCUCAGCCCGCCCGUGAUCGCCACCCGGGUUCGAUUCCUGCCCUACAGUGACCUACCGCGGACAGUGUGUAUGCGGGUUGAGCUCUACGGGUGCCAGUACUCAGACGGCCUGGUGUCCUACAGUAUGCCUGACGGGGACAUGCGGGGCGGGGACACGGCGCUCACGGACCUCACCUACGACGGGGCACGGCGGGGCGGGUGGCUGUCGGGAGGCCUGGGGCAGUUGACGGACGGGGAGACGGGGCACACCAACUUCCGGGUGGACGCGCUGGGCAUGGGCAGAGGCUACGAGUGGGUUGGCUGGAAGAACACGUCUCGCCAGGGUCAGGCUGUGCCCCUCACCUUCCAGUUCGAUACCCUCAGGAACUUCAGCGCCGUUCAUGUGUACACCAACAACCUCUUCACCAAGGAGACGCGGGUGUUCUCGCGCGCACGGAUCCUCUUCAGCGUGGGCGGCGAGCUCUUCCCCAGCCACACCGCCGUCGACUACACCUACCCCGUGGACAGGAUCUUCGAGAACGCGCGCAAUGUGACCAUCAAGCUGCACGGCGCCGUCGGGAAACACGUGCGGCUGGAGCUGUUCUUCGCCCUCAAGUGGAUCAUGGUGUCCGAGGUGUCCUUCGACUCAGUUCCGUGUCACUGUAACCUGACGGAGGAGGAGGCGGUGGAGGUGAUGACGACGACGGAGACGGUGAACGACGAGCGGCUGGUGGAAGGCCGCGCCCCGGUGGUGCCGGCCGAGCAGCCGUCCUCCGCCCUGCUGCUGGGGGGCCUCAUCUGCCUGGCGCUGGUGUUCGGCACGGUGCCCCUCGUGCUGGGCGUCACCUACUACCAGCGCCGCGUGGCCAGGAAGGCCAACAAGAAGUCGCCGCCGCCCUCCGAGAACGGCGAGUCGCGGAAGGUGUCCAUGAAGAUGAAGGACCUGCACAUCAACGUGAACCUGUCGCCCGUGUCCAACGGCUACGCCAAGGCCAAGGGCAAACUUUACGGCCACGUGGCCAUGGACGAGGAGGCCGCGGCCAUGUACCAGGAGCCCUUCAAGGGCUCGCCCAUGACCAACCCCGGCUACUACACGCUGGGCCGCAGUGGCGGCUCCGACACGCCGCUCAAGUGUCCGCUGCCGCUGGACACCGACGAUUCGGUUGACUACGCGGUGCCGGACGUCAACAUGACCCCGCCGCCGCCGUUCUCGGAGGUGUACACGCCGCCGCCGCCCCCCGUGCCCCUCACCAGGCCCCCCGCCACGCUGCCCACGGCCCGCACCCUGGCCAGCGCUCCCCUGCCCGCCCUGCCGCCGCCCCCUGACCAGGAGUACUACGCCGCGCCGCUGCUCUGCCAGCCCACCAACAUUCAGGGCGUCACUGGCACCGUCGCCUACGUCGUGGCCGACACGUCCAGCCUCGGCAAGGAGCGGCCGCUGCCCGAGGCCUCGAGGCCACAGCUGCGUGUACUGGACACGCUGGGCGAGGGCAUCUUUGGGCUGGUGCAGCUGUGCGAGACGCGGGACGCGGCCCUCGGUGGCCCCAGGAAAGUGCUGCUCAGGAGCCUCAAGCUGGGGGCGGACGAGGAGGCCAAGAAGACGUUCCGGCAGGAGGGCCACACGCUGGCCCGCCUGGACAGUCCCUACGUGGUGCGCGUGAUCGCCGCCGCGCACGCCGCCGAGCCUCCCUGCCUGCUGCUGGAGUACCCGGACCACGGCGACCUCUGCCAGUUCCUGCGCUGCCACGCCAUGGAGGAGGCGGGCGGCAACGUCUCCUCCAGAGGCCUCCUCGACCCCCCGACGCUGAGCUACGGCGCCCUCAUCUUCCUGGUGACGCAGGUGGCGUCCGGCAUGAAGUACCUGGAGGCGGCGGGCGUGGUGCACCGCGACCUGGCGGCGCGCAACUGCCUGGUGGGCCCCGGCCUGGCCCUCAAGAUCUCAGACUUCGCCAUCAGCCGCCCCCUCUACUCCGACGACUACUACCGCCUCAACGAGGGCCGCACGCUGCUGCCGGUGCGCUGGAUGGCCUGGGAGUCCAUCCUGCAGGGGAGGUUCACCAGUAAGAGCGACGUGUGGGCGUUCGGCGUCACGCUGUGGGAGAUCCUGACGCUGGCCCGCCAGCAGCCCUUUGCCGAGCUGAGCGACGAGGGUGUGCUGGAGAAUGCGUCCCAUUGCUUCCACGGCGACGGCUCCGGCAUGAUGACGCUGCCGCAGCCGCCGCUCUGCCCACGCGAGAUGUACGACAUCAUGGUGGCCUGCUGGAGGCCCGCAGACCGCCAGCGGCCGCCCUUCUGGGAGAUCCUCAUGUUCCUGCAGCGCAAAAACCUCGGCUACACCUUCGACUACCCCAACUAAGGCCGCCGCCGUGUUGCCAGGCCCGGCCACAGCCUCUCGUGUGGGCCAGAACAAUCCUUAGCACGUGCACGCCCCCAGGUGUGGUGUGUGGUGUUUGUGCGUGUUUGUGUUCGUUCGUGAGUGUGUGAGUGUGGGGUUGUCACAACGGUGACAUGGACACAGCGCCGGUGUGAUGGCCACAUGAACUCAUCGAACGCAAGAGGCAUUAACGUAGUGUCUAAAGGUGGUCAUUGAACGCACUGCACCACAUACGGACGAAAACACACACACAUUAGCAUCAAAUCAGUGAGUUAAAAGACAAACGAAUGUAUAAUAGAAUACAGCUGUGGAGUGAAGUUUAUCCCUUGAGUGAGAGAAUAUUGUAACCAAAGUGGGGACAAGAUUAUUAUUAUUAUUAUUAUUAUUAUUAUUAUUAUUAUUAUUAUUAUUAUUAUUAUUAUUAUUAUUAUCGUGCCCCUACGAGUCAUGCCUGAAGGACUCACGUAAUCAAACAAACAACGAAUCUAAGUCUCUCAGGUGUUAUCAAGGUGUGAAUUAAUUAGUGUUUUAUUAGCAACGUGGUGCCAACUGUGAUCCUGUGUGUGUGUGUGUGUGUGUGUGUGUGUGUGUGUGAGAGAGAGAGUGAGUGAGUGAGUGAGUGUGUGUGUGUGUGUGUGUGUGUGUGUGUGUGUGUGUGUGUGUGUGUGUGAACAGCAAGCUAGGGGCAUAUAAUCAAACACUGACUUGUAAAAUACUAAUAUAAAAAACACACAGGUGACUUACCAUUGUAUAUACAGCAACCACACGCCUCCCCUCACCUGGAUGGCAAGAGAAGAGGAGGAGGAGGAGAAGGAGAAGGAGGAGGAGGAAAAGAAGAAACACAUCCUCUGUCAUGUUCCAAACGCCUUUUCCUUACCUGUAAAUGAUAAAGAAAGCACCAUCAUCAUCAUUAUUAUUGUUAUUAUUAUUAUUAUUUUUAUUUCUAUUAUUAUUGAAGGUAAGAAAGGAGCGUUAAUACACCUGCUUACCUAAGAUGUGCUCUAAUUAAAGAACAUGAAAAAUACAACCUGUGAAUGUAAAUAUUGACAUAACCUCAUUUUCUAUACCACAAAUCCCCUUCCUUACCUCCUCUUUCUCCUCCUCCUCCUCCUCCUCCUCCCCUUCCUCCCUCCCUCUCUCCUUCCUUCCCACCAGCGUUGCUAGAUUAUCGUAUUCACCACAACGUAUUUAUCUUUUUUUAAGCCUCAAACUCUCGAACCUACACAAAUAACGACAGAAUAUCAUCAAAGUUAGCAUUAAAACUGUUAUUUAUUGAGGUUUGUGUUUUUUGCUAAAGUUAUCGGUCAGAAACUACGAAAAUAUAAUGCGAUGAGUACGAUAAUUUGGCGACGCGGCUUCCCACCAUGUUCCGUGUUGUGAUGUAGAGUUCAUUUAAGUUAUUUUUCUCCCUCUGUCGUCUUCCCACAUGCCCGGAAAUAGUUGUAAAGAGAGGAAGGAAAACGUAGACUUAAGGUUGUCAGCAGCAAGCGAGACAUUGUGAUGAUAUGGAUAGAGAGACGGCGAGACGUGUGUGAACCUUAACAAAAACACUGAAAAAGCGAUAAAGAAGAGAUGAGGGUACAAAUAGAGAGGUGUUGACAAUUAGGAAAAACUAGAAAGACAAGAAAAAGGUGAAGGUAGAAAUUUGAGGUGCUGAUAAGUGUGAGUAUUGGCAAAAACUGAAAAGAUAAGAAAAAAAGAUAGAAAUGAGAGGUGUUGAGAAGUGUGAAUAUUAGCAAACACUGAAAAGAUAUGGAAAAGGUGAAGGUAGAAAUGAGAGGUGUUGAGAAGUGUGAAUAUUAGCAAACACUGAAAAGAUAUGGAAAAGGUGAAGGUAAAGUAAUAAGAUGCUGAUCAGUGUGAAAAUUAGCAAAAAGUGAAAAGAUAAGAAAAAGGUGAAGGUAGAAAUGCGAGGUGCUGAGAAGCGUGAAAAUUAGCAAAAAGUGAAAAGAUAAGAAAAAGGUGAAGGUAGAAAUGAGAGGUGCUGAGAAGCGUGAAAAUUAGCAAAAAGUGAAAAGAUAAGAAAAAGGUGAAGGUAAAAUUCUGAGAUGCUGAUAAGCGUGAAAAUUAGCAAAAACAGAAAAAGAUAAGAAUUCGACGAAGAUAAAAACAAAAGAUAUACUGAUAAGUGUG